rnacentral:rRNA from 1 species
UACUGCAGUCGACGACUCUGGUAUUGAUUGGUGCUUGCAUCAUGAUUUACAUUUGAGUGAGUGGCGAACUGGUGAGUAACACGUGGGAAACCUGCCCAGAAGCGGGGGAUAACACCUGGAAACAGAUGCUAAUACCGCAUAACAACUUGGACCGCAUGGUCCGAGUUUGAAAGAUGGCUUCGGCUAUCACUUUUGGAUGGUCCCGCGGCGUAUUAGCUAGAUGGUGGGGUAACGGCUCACCAUGGCAAUGAUACGUAGCCGACCUGAGAGGGUAAUCGGCCACAUUGGGACUGAGACACGGCCCAAACUCCUACGGGAGGCAGCAGUAGGGAAUCUUCCACAAUGGACGAAAGUCUGAUGGAGCAACGCCGCGUGAGUGAAGAAGGGUUUCGGCUCGUAAAACUCUGUUGUUAAAGAAGAACAUAUCUGAGAGUAACUGUUCAGGUAUUGACGGUAUUUAACCAGAAAGCCACGGCUAACUACGUGCCAGCAGCCGCGGUAAUACGUAGGUGGCAAGCGUUGUCCGGAUUUAUUGGGCGUAAAGCGAGCGCAGGCG